rnacentral:tRNA from 1 species
GGAGGGUUGGCAGAGCGGCCGAAUGCACUCGCCUUGAAAGCGAGCGAUGCGAAAGCAUCCGGGGGUUCAAAUCCCUCACCCUCCGCCA